rnacentral:rRNA from 1 species
CCUACGGGUGGCAGCAGUGAGGAAUAUUGGUCAAUGGGCGGGAGCCUGAACCAGCCAAGCCGCGUGAGGGAAGAAGGUACAGCGUAUCGUAAACCUCUUUUGUCAGGGAACAAAGGCGGGGACUAGUCCCCGGAUGAGGGUACCUGAAGAAAAAGCAUCGGCUAACUCCGUGCCAGCAGCCGCGGUAAUACGGAGGAUGCGAGCGUUAUCCGGAUUUAUUGGGUUUAAAGGGUGCGCAGGCGGGCUGUUAAGUUAGAGGUUAAAGCCCGGGGCUUAACCCCGGCAGGGCCGUUGAUACUGGCGGGCUGGAGUUGGGUAGAGGUACGCGGAAUGCGCGGUGUAGCGGUGAAAUGCUUAGAGAUCGCGCAGAACCCCGAUUGCGAAGGCAGCGUACC